rnacentral:rRNA from 1 species
UGGCUCAGAAUGAACGCUGGCGGCGUGCUUACACAUGCAAGUCGCACGAGAACACCUCAGCUUGCUGGGGUAAGUAAAGUGGCGCACGGGUGAGUAACGCGUGGGUAAUCUGCCCUCGAAUCUGGGAUAACCCCGCGAAAGCGGGGCUAAUACCGGAUGAAAUCCAGUUAGCUUUGGCUAUAUGGAUCAAAGGUGGCCUCUGCAUGCAAGCUACUGUUUGGGGAUGAGCCCGCGUACCGUUAGCUUGUUGGUGGGGUAAAGGCCCACCAAGGCGACGAUGGUUAGCUGGUCUGAGAGGAUGAUCAGCCACACUGGAACUGGAACACGGUCCAGACUCCUACGGGAGGCAGCAGUGAGGAAUUUUGCGCAAUGGGGGUAACCCUGACGCAGCAACGCCGCGUGAGUGAUGAAGGCCUUCGGGUCGUAAAGCUCUGUCAAGUGGGAAGAACCCAUUCCGGCACAACAAGCCGGGGUGCUGACGGUACCACUGAAGGAAGCACCGGCUAACUCCGUGCCAGCAGCCGCGGUAAUACGGAGGGUGCGAGCGUUAUUCGGAAUUACUGGGCGUAAAGGGCGCGUAGGCGGCCGAUUAAGUCAGAUGUGAAAUCCCGGGGCUUACCCCCGGAAGUGCAUUUGAUACUGAACGGCUUGAGUAUGGGAGAGGGAAGUGGAAUUCCUGGUGUAGCGGUGAAAUGCGUAGAUAUCAGGAGGAACACCGGUGGCGAAGGCGACUUCCUUGGACCAAUACUGACGCUGAAGGCGCGAAGGCGUGGGGAGCAAACAGGGUUAGAUACCCUGGUAGUCCCACGCAGUAAACGGUGAUCACUAAGUGUAACGGGUAUUGACCCC